rnacentral:rRNA from 1 species
UACGUAGGUGGCAAGCGUUAUCCGGAUUUAUUGGGCGUAAAGCGAGCGCAGGCGGUUACUUAAGUCUGAUGUGAAAGCCUUCGGCUUAACCGAAGAAGUGCAUCGGAAACUGGGUGACUUGAGUGCAGAAGAGGACAGUGGAACUCCAUGUGUAGCGGUGGAAUGCGUAGAUAUAUGGAAGAACACCAGUGGCGAAGGCGGCUGUCUGGUCUGCAACUGACGCUGAGGCUCGAAAGCAUGGGUAGCGAACAGGAUUAGAUACCCUGGUAGUCCAUGCCGUAAACGAUGAGUGCUAGGUGUUGGAGGGUUUCCGCCCUUCAGUGCCGGAGCUAACGCAUUAAGCACUCCGCCUGGGGAGUACGACCGCAAGGUUGAA